GAUGAACGCUGGCGGCGUGCCUAAUACAUGCAAGUCGAGCGAACAGAUAAGGAGCUUGCUCCUUUGACGUUAGCGGCGGACGGGUGAGUAACACGUGGGUAACCUACCUAUAAGACUGGGAUAACUUCGGGAAACCGGAGCUAAUACCGGAUAACAUUUGGAACCGCAUGGUUCUAAAAGUGAAAGAUGGUUUUAGCUAUCACUUAUAGAUGGACCCGCGCCGUAUUAGCUAGUGUAAGUAACGGCUUACCAAGGCAACGAUACGUAGCCGACCUGAGAGGUGAUCGGCCACACUGGAACUGAGACACGGCCCAGACUCCUACGGAGGCAGCAGUAGGGAAUCUUCGCAAUGGGCGAAAGCCUGACGGAGCAACGCCGCGUGAGUGAUGAAGGGUUUC
rnacentral:rRNA from 1 species